AGUUCAAUAGUUAAUUUUAUAACAUUAGAUUGCAAAUCUAAAGAAAAGUUUAUCUUUUGGGCUU
rnacentral:tRNA from 1 species